rnacentral:sRNA from 1 species
UUUGGUAGCUGGGGGUGGGUGUGAGGUGGGUGUGGAGAAAGCCCACUCAUCAGCUCAUCAGUAGUACCAGGUCCGAGCAGAUCCCUGGUGAUCAUGCGUCACCAUGACGACAGCGACAGCGCCGGUCCAGACAGAGAGGAUUUGAGUCCCUGAGAUGCAGACCUGCCGUUAGCACUUUUCAACCUCAGUCUGAAUUGUGGAAACCACAGCCUUUGCUCUCAGAAUCCCAAGAGUGUUCGUUUAAAUAUUUUGGGAGUGUGCCCACACCCUGGGUGACACUACCACGGGCUGUCCAGGUGCUGCAGCAGGUGUCCAGUUGUCCCAGCCAUGACUCAGCCGGACUCUUCUGGCCUCUCAGCGUAUGCGCUGGCUCCCUGUGCGAUCUCUGCUCCAGCCUCCUGCAGCUCUUGACCCCUGCACACUGAAGGAGGCAAAGCCUCUGCUAACGUCUUGACUGAUGGAAUUAAGGAAGACGAGAAAAUCCGGAAGCGUAAAUCCUUCCCAAGAUGUCUGGGGAUUGAGAGCUGGAAGUGAGUGGCAUAGAGGCAAAACCAUUGGGCAGAAUUGUCGGAGGAAAGAUCCCUGUUGCUCUCAGCAUUGCCAAUGGCAUCCCUCCAACAUUUGGUGGUGAGGCAGAGCCCUCACAGGGCAGAAGGCAGAACUGUCUCAAGUCUCAACUUUGUGGUAGAAGUUACAGAGUGAUGGCAAGAAGAUUGGUUUUGCAGGGCCACCAUCCUGAUGAGAUCAGACAAGAAGAGGAGGCCGAGAGUGAUGUUUCCUCCAUCGUGGAAGCUAGCUGUCAGGCCACCAGUGAUUCUGGAUGGAAGGAUAAGUAGACACUCAACACAGACUCCCAAGACUGGACCUCCUAUGACCACCUAAUGGAUUUCUUCUUGGACCAAGGGAUGCACGACACUUUUGAGGAUAAGUCACUAGAGCUCAGCAUAGUCCUAGAACAUCAAGAAGUUUUGCCAAGAACCAGCAGAACUGUGAGAGGCUGAAGGCCUUAAUUCUAAUGGCAGUUUUGGCUAAAGGACAAAAGCUACUGUGACAUCAGAAUGAUGCUUUGAAAUGGCUGCCUGGUGUGAUGGGAGGAAAAAGCAAGCUUAAAUUCUUGCGGCCCACCUCCACUUACUGUUCCUUUGAACUUACUUUAAGUCACACGGCCAGGGAUGGGUGAAGCUGACAUCUGAACCUCUCCUGAUGUCAGAGCCCCCAUUUUUUCCCUACUUUAAGUAACUGCUCUUGAGGUUGCAGUUUCCAGCUUUAAGAGCAAAAUCUGUUUCUCUCAUUAAACCAACCUGUGUGAA